rnacentral:rRNA from 1 species
UACAGAGGUCCCGAGCGUUGUUCGGAUUCAUUGGGCGUAAAGGGUGCGUAGGCGGCGGGGCAAGUCUGAUGUGAAAUCCCGGGGCUCAACCCCGGAACUGCAUUGGAUACUGCCUUGCUAGAGUACUGGAGAGGGAACUGGAAUUUACGGUGUAGCAGUGAAAUGCGUAGAGAUCGUAAGGAAGGCCAGUGGCGAAGGCGAGUUCCUGGACAGUUACUGACGCUGAGGCACGAAGACCAGGGGAGCAAACGGG